rnacentral:misc_RNA from 1 species
GAUGAAGAACGUAGCGAAAUGCGAUAAGUAAUGUGAAUUGCAGAAUUCAGUGAAUCAUCGAAUCUUUGAACGCACAUUGCGCCCGGUAGUAAUCUGCCGGGCAUGCCUGUCCGAGCGUCAUUUCAACCCUCGAACCACUAUUCGCGUAGCUGGAUCGGUGUUGGGGCACUACGGUGGAAUACCCGUAGGCCCCGAAAUGAAGUGGCGGUCCCGCCGCGGCGCCCCCAUGCGUAGUAACAUCUCGUCUCGCAUCGGGUCCCGGCGGAGGCCUGCCGUCAAGCCUAUUUUCUAAUUACAGAUGGUUUGACCUCGGAUCAGGUAGGGUUACCCGCUGAACUUAAGCAUACAAUAAGCGGAGGA